CGGGUCUUGUCAUACCCUUGUCACAGUUGAAACAAGUUUUGAGUGGUUCUGGGAUGGGGGGGCGGGGGAGGGCAGAGCAGCAAGCAUGGAGCCCAGGCAGCUGGACGACAGAGCUGGGGUGCCCUCGGCGUGGCGCUGGCCUGGUCCCCCGCCCCCCAGAUGAGGGGCAGCAAAGCAGCAGUUCCUCUCUGGGUUCUUGGUCUGUGCCGGCCCCACCUGGGUUCUCUGGGGAAUGCGUGGAGAGAAACAAGGGUAAUGCUUUUCCUCUCUCUAUUUAGGUAGCACCUGCCUUCCGAGAGCUGACAGAACGCCGAGGGUAAGUCCUGGGCCUGGAUCCAGGUCAGUGGGAUGCAUGUGGGUCGCCUUCAGGAGCAUCUGCUGUAGAGCUUAGCAGCCUGGCUCGUCAGUUCCGGAGCACAAUAAAUAAAAAAGGGCCAAGCUCUGAUUUCUGGAAAAUAUAAGCCGUCUUUGUCUGUUCCCAACUCUCUUGCUUGUCUGGGUUUUCACGGGAAAGCAGUUGGCCAGCCUCAGCAGGAGGCCCUACUUCUGGAAGGGCCUCGCCUAUAGGGGGUGAGGGCUGGGGCCCCCCCCCAGGUCCGCAAGAAGCAUCUGCAGGGCAGGGCGGCCUCUGAGAAGACCCCUUGAGUCAGUGUGGAGAGCAGGCCGCUGGGCUCAGGAAGUGGCUCUGUCCACUGGCUGGGAGAGCACUUGACCCGCGUGCCAGACAGUGACGCUCAGCCUUGGGAGUCACGGUGACGAAGGGCUGAAGGCUGACUUGUCCCUCCUUCCCCCACAUAGCUUGUUCUGUGUGCCAGUGCUGCCCUGUAAACCUCCUGUGCUAAGGUCUCCCCUCGCACAGGAAACUCUGCUGAUCGCGCUGAGCCCAGGGCAUCUCAGCCUGAAUGCCAAGCGAGGCGCUCGUGACCGGUGUCCACCCGAAGGUCCCGUCUGUCUCUGGCGGCUGGCUUGGGGGAGCGUGCCCGCGGGGCCUGGUGGAGGGNNNNNNNNNNNNNNNNNNNNNNNNNNNNNNNNNNNNNNNNUUCCCUCCACCACAGGCAGGCCAGCUGCUACCCCCGGUUCACAGCCAGGUGCCCUGGGAACUGUGUGGCUCGGGGACAACUGCCCAGAGCUCAGGUCCAGUGCUCAGCAUGAGGACUCCUUUGUUUGGGGAUUUUUCUCGGGUGACCCCUCCGGAGCCAGAAGCCAUUUUCCUCUCCGAGAUGUUCCAUCGCCCUUGCUUGUCCCAGGUCUUGGGCCAGCAGUGGCCGUCUUCCACUCUGGGAGUGAGUCUGCUGGGAAAGGCGGGCCGAGUGUACGGCAGGCCAGAGAAGCAGGAGGGGGGCUGGGAUGCCAAGGCCGCUCGCGUACGUUUCCACCAGCUGUAUGUGGAAUGGGGCCAGACUCCACAUGUGGCAGCUCCUCUCCUGACCGACAUCCGUCCCCGCCUGAGGCCUCGGGAAAAUUCCAUGAUGUGGCUGUGCUGAGUCAUGCUUAGUGUCUGAGGAUCCGUAUGUCACCUUUCGCGUGUCUGUCACUGGUCAGCCCUGGGUCUGGGAAAGGCUGCAGCUUCCACAGCAGCCGUGAUAUCCUGCUGCUGAUCCUUUCUGUUUACCCACUGCUGUGUGCCUCUCCCGAGUGCUUUGAC
rnacentral:lncRNA from 1 species